UACGUAGGGCGCAAGCGUUAUCCGGAAUUAUUGGGCGUAAGGAGCUCGUAGGCGGUGUGUCACGUCGUUCGUGAAAACCCGGGGCUCAACUCCGGGCUUGCGGGCGAUACGGGCAGGCUAGAGUUCGGUAGGGGAGACUGGAAUUCCUGGUGUAGCGGUGAAAUGCGCAGAUAUCAGGAGGAACACCGGUGGCGAAGGCGGGUCUCUGGACAGUUCCUGACGCUGAGGCACGAAGGUCAGGGGAGCAAACGGG
rnacentral:rRNA from 1 species